rnacentral:rRNA from 1 species
GAGUGGAGCCUGCGGCUUAAUUUGACUCAACACGAGGAAACUUACCGGGUCCAGACAUAGUAAGGAUUGACAAACUAAGAGCUCUUUCUUGAUUCCAUGGGUGGUGGUGCAUGUCCGUUCUUAGUUGGUGGAGCGAUUUGUCAGGUUAAUUCCAUUAACGAACGAGACCUCAGCCUGCUAACUAGCUACGUGGAGGCAUCCCUUCACGGCCGGCUUCUUAGAGGGACUAUGGCCGUUUAGGCCAAGGAAGUUUGAGGCAAUAACAGGUCCGUGAUGCCCUUAGAUAUUCUGGGCCGCACGCGCGCUACACUGAUGUAUUCAAUGAGUUCACACCUUGGCCGACAGGCCCAUGUAAUGUAACGCCCGAAUCCGGCCUCUCGACGAAACUGGACCCGUUUGUUAAUCAAUUU